GAUGAACGCUGGCGGCGUGCUUAACACAUGCAAGUCGAACGAUGAAGCCCAGCUUGCUGGGUGGAUUAGUGGCGAACGUGUGAGUAACACGUGAGUAACCUGCCCUUAACUCUGGGAUAAGCCUGGGAAACUGGGUCUAAUACCGGAUAGGAGCGUCCACCGCAUGGUGGGUGUUGGAAAGAUUUAUCGUUUUUGGAUGGACUCGCGGCCUAUCAGCUUGUUGGUGAGGUAAUGGCUCACCAAGGCGACGACGGGUAGCCGGCCUGAGAGGGUGACCGGCCACACUGGGACUGAGACACGGCCCAGACUCCUACGGGAGGCAGCAGUGGGGAAUAUUGCACAAUGGGCGCAAGCCUGAUGCAGCGACGCCGCGUGAGGGAUGACGGCCUUCGGGUUGUAAACCUCUUUCAGUAGGGAAGAAGCGAAAGUGACGGUACCUGCAGAAGAAGCACCGGCUAACUACGUG
rnacentral:rRNA from 1 species